rnacentral:rRNA from 1 species
GAUGAACGCUAGCGGCAGGCCUAAUACAUGCAAGGCGAAGGGGCAGCAAUGUCACUGUCGUACGGGUGCGUAACGCGUAUGCAACCUACCUAUCACAGGGGAAUAGCCUUUGGAAACAGGGAUUAAUACCGCAUAAAGCAGGGACACCGCAUGGUGAUAUUGCUAAAGAUUUAUCGGUGAUAGAUGGGCAUGCGUCUGAUUAGUUAGUUGGCAGGGUAACGGCCUACCAAGACGAUGAUCAGUAGGGGGCGUCAGAGCGUGGUCCCCCACACUGGCACUGAGAUACGGGCCAGACUCCUACGGGAGGCAGCAGUAGGGAAUAUUGGGCAAUGGAUGCAAGUCUGACCCAGCCAUGCCGCGUGCAGGAAGAAGGUCCUCUGGAUUGUAAACUGCUUUUAUCGGGGAAGAAUAGUUUUCUUGCGAGGGAAUGUGACGGUACCCGAUGAAUAAGCCACGGCUAACUACGUGCCAGCA